rnacentral:lncRNA from 1 species
CACAGGCUUGCGAAAGCCUUCAAUGAGCUCUCAGUUGCAUCCUUGGCCAGUGAGAAACUUCAGCGGGCAAAAAAAAAAAACAAACCCCAGCGCCCCGAGUCUUUCACAGCUCAGAGCUUUGCUACGGGAUGACCAUGCGAGUGGCUGAUUCUGCUCCCUGAGCCCUAUGUCUUCUGCCUUCUUCUGCCUUCCCGAACUUCUUCGGGGCACGGCUUUUGCUGGUUUUUACUGUCAUCCUGAAACAUAAGCCUUCGAAAAUAAUAUUAUCUUACAAAAUCUCAGCAUAAUGCCAGCUCUUAUUAGAACUGAUGGCUGCUGUGGGUAAAAAAGAACAAAAUAAAUAAAAAUCGCAGUGUGUCCGUAGAGUCGAUAAAAAAUACCGGAGGAAGGUUUAUGCAAAGGCAACUUUUGAGGCAUGGGCAGAUGGAGUAGGCGAAAGGUGAAGUUUAUACAUUCUUUCCAAUUGGCUUGGCUGUGAUAAAGCCAGCAAAGCACUAGCUUUUUAUUCAGUGACCAUUCUGAUCUAAAAUUCUUUCUGUACCAGCUACGUAACUGAAAUUUCUGGUUAUUAUAAGUGUGGGGGUGAAUUCUGCCCUCUGAUGUGUGCACAAGUUCCGUUUUCCUUUAGGAUCAUUUGGGUUAAUGUACAUGCAUGUCAGGGCAGAGUUUAAUAUUAUUCCUGUGGAACAGCGAACAACGUUAGGUCAGACACGCCGGUUUCAUUUAAUACUAAGCAUGUUUAAGAAGAAAUGUCAGAGUUCAGUUCCGCUGGCUCGUGAUGUAAGUCAGGAAUUACUGAAGCCAGACACCUACCCUGCUCUUACACCAGUUUUGCACUAGGAUUACUCCACUGAAAUAAAUCAGCUCUUUAACAGGAAUCCACCGUACUGACGUAUGAGCAGUUCAUAAACUUUAUGCAAACAAGGAAAUCAUGUUACACAGAAGGAACUGAAAAAUAGUGGUCUGGAUUCAUUCCUCUUCUAUUUAGAAGUUCAGCUUGGCGUGCUUGCAGUAUGUAUGCUACACGAUAUGGAAGUACUUACCCCAAAGAAAUGAGGAAUGUAGAGUCUUCAUCCUGGGAAAGAUCUGGUAGAGGUGUGUACAACUGUCCCUCAGAGAAGCUGAAUUGGAAACAGCUGAUCACAUUCUCUCACUUUUAUCAAGAGUGGAACUCAUCAACUGAAAUAAACUCGUGGUGGAUUCCAAAGAAACAUGAGAGUUGCCUAAUGGUAAGGAAUUAAAUUUCAGAACUCAUUGCCUUGGGAUGCAGGGAUGGCUUCAGAGAGAUUAAGUACAUCUGCAACAUAACGAUUAUUCAAAGGCUGAUUUCAGACUUGGGACUCUGGACAGUUGUGAAUAUUUGGUCUGAAUCAGGAUGACCAUACAUACACUCUUUGUUUUGUUCUUCUGAAUGAGUGCCUGAGCAAUCAUUGAGGGACAUAGGAAGCUUGACUUCCAGCCAGCCAUACCAGUGAUUUCUCUGAAGGUGGCAUGAAGGACUCAAAGCAUUGCCCCACGUCAUUCAAGAGAUCUGUGGUGCAGCAGGGUAACUCAGCUCUACAGCUAGCAACUGAAAACAUCCAUCAUGUCUACUCAGCAUUUUUUUGACUUACACAGCUUUACCCCAGAGCUCAAGCAAUUAUUUGCAGCCUGAAAAAAAGGGCAGCUACAGUCACUCGUAAGAUUUGGUCUCCUGCAUGGCUAUACAGGAGACUUCAGUCAUCUUGUGGGCACAAAUACAGUUUCUGAAUUGUGAGUGUAUAUAUGUAUGUUAUCAUACUCUUUCACUGUGAAAGUAGUAACUACUGUAUGUGGUAAAAUGAUAUAUUGUUGUCCGCAGAAUGUCUUUGGCAACAGGAUGUUCACUAGCCUUGGAAUUUUGCCUUGUAUAAAUAUUUUUAAUCUACUCCAUGUAGGCAUAUUUUGGCUGCAAAAUAAAGGGUUUUGGAGAUUAAUAUAUCCAGGCUCAGUUCUGCUUAUACAUCCUACAUACAUCAAGUUUUUAUUGAACUAUGCAUCUAGAAUCUUCGUGUAGCAGCUGUUUUGGGGGCUUUUUUUUUCUUUUGCCUGCUUUACUCAAAGGAGGAUUAUGACUAUAUCCUAUUUUUAUACUCUACAAAUGUAGUAAUUUAAUCUACAGAUAUAUUUUCAUUCUUCAGAUGUAACCUAUAUAAAGCAUGUUCAAAUUUAUGGUCAUUGCUUUUCCUGUAAAGUAUAUUAUUGGCCUCUUUUCAAAUGUCCACGUUUUCCCAAGGAAUGCCCAAACAGCUAUUUAUCAAUGAAUAAAG